rnacentral:rRNA from 1 species
GAAGCGUAGUGGUAUCCUGAGUAGCGCGGGACACGAGGAAUCUUGCGUGAAUCUGCCGGGACCAUCCGGUAAGGCUAAAUACUCCCGAGAGACCGAUAGCGAACCAGUACUGUGAAGGAAAGGUGAAAAGCACUUCGAAUAGAAGAGUGAAAUAGUCCCUGAAACCGUGCGCCUACAAGCGGUCGGAGCUGCUUCAGCAGUGACGGCGUGCCUUUUGCAUAAUGAACCUACGAGUUACUUUUUCCGGCAAGGUUAAGGAUCUUGAGAUCCGCAGCCGAAGCGAAAGCGAGUCUUAACAGGGCGAUUAGUCGGAAGGAGUAGACGCGAAACCAAGUGAUCUACCCUUGGUCAGGUUGAAGGUUAGGUAACACUAACUGGAGGACCGAACCGAUAAGCGUUGAAAAGCUUCCGGAUGAACUGAGGGUGGGGGUGAAAGGCUAAUCAAACUUGGAGAUAGCUCGUACUCCCCGAAAUGCAUUUAGGUGCAGCCUUGGGAAUUACUACUGUGAGGUAGAGCGACUGAUAAGAUGCGAGGGCUUCACCGCCUAUCAAGUCUUGAUAAACUCCGAAUGCGCAGUAGUUCGAUCCCAGGAGUGAGGGCAUGGGUGCUAAGGUCCAUGUCCUAAAGGAGAAGAAUCCGGACCAUCAGCUAAGGUCCCGAAAUAAUUGCUAAGUUGAACUAACGAAGUCAGAUUGCUAAGACAGCUAGGAUGUUGGCUUGGAAGCAGCCAUUCAUUUAAAGAGUGCGUAACAGCUCACUAGUCGAGGAGUUUGGCGUGGAUAAUAAUCGGGCAUUAAGCAAUUUACCGAAGCUAUGGGAUCAGUAAUGAUCGGUAGGGGAGCAUUCCACUCUGCGUCGAAGGUGAAGCGUGAGCUUUGCUGGAGCGUGUGGAAAAGCAAAUGUAGGUAUAAGUAACGAUAAAGGGGGUGAGAAACCCCCUCGCCGAAAGACUAAGGUUUCCUGAUCAACGCUAAUCGGAUCAGGGUUAGUCGGGUCCUAAGGCUCAGCCGAACGGUGAGGCCGAUGGCAGAACAGGUUAAUAUUCCUGUACUACCUUAAGGAGUGACGUGGAGACGGAGCAGUGAUAGCGCCGCGGACUGACGGAAUAGUCCGUUGAAGGGUGUAGAUGUUGAUCUUUGCAGGCAAAUCCACAAAGAGAGUCGAACCUGAUAGUAUACCAAAUUCUUCGGAAUAAGGUAAUAGUGCGUGUAAACAUACUCCCAAGAAAAUCCGCUAAACUUAAUCUUUAAGGUACCCGUACCGCAAACGGACACACGUAGUCGGGUUGAAUAUACUAAGGCGCUUGAGUGAUUCACGGUUAAGGAACUAGGCAAAUUGACCCUGUAACUUCGGGAUAAAGGGUCCCAACGAGAGUUGGGCGCAGAGAAUAGGUCCAGGCAACUGUUUAACAAAAACACAGGGCUGUGCUAAAUUGAAAGAUUACGUAUACAGCCUGACACCUGCCCGGUGCUGGAAGGUUAAGAGGAGAUGUCAUCGCAAGAGAAGCAUUGAAUUGAAGCCCCAGUAAACGGCGGCCGUAACUAUAACGGUCCUAAGGUAGCGAAAUUCCUUGUCGGGUAAGUUCCGACCUGCACGAAUGGUGUAAUGAUCUGGACACUGUCUCAACCGUGAGCUCAGUGAAAUUGUAGUAUCGGUGAAGAUGCCGAUUACCCGCGAUGGGACGAAAAGACCCCGUGAACCUUUACUAUAGCUUAACAUUGAAUUUGGGUAAUUGAUGUGUAGGAUAGGCCGGAGACUUCGAAGCAGGUACGCCAGUAUUUGUGGAGUCGCUGUUGAAAUACGGCCCUUUGAUUAUUUGAGUUCUAACUCGUAGAUGCGAGGACACUGUUUGGUGGGUAGUUUGACUGGGGUGGUCGCCUCCAAAAGUGUAACGGAGGCUUCUAAAGGUGCCCUCAGGACGAUUGGUAACCGUCCGUAGAGUGUAAUGGCAUAAGGGCGCUUGACUGGGAGACAGACAAGUCGAUCAGGUAGGAAACUAGAGCAUAGUGAUCCGGUGUUUCCGCAUGGAAGGGACAUCGCUCAAAGGAUAAAAGGUACUCCGGGGAUAACAGGCUGAUCCCUCCCAAGAGCUCAUAUCGACGGAGGGGUUUGGCACCUCGAUGUCGGCUCGUCACAUCCUGGGGCUGGAGAAGGUCCCAAGGGUUGGGCUGUUCGCCCAUUAAAGUGGCACGCGAGCUGGGUUCAGAACGUCGUGAGACAGUUCGGUCUCUAUCUAUCGUGGGCGUAUGAAAUUUGCGUGGCUCUGACACUAGUACGAGAGGACCGUGUUGGACUGACCGCUGGUUUACCAGUUGUGCCGCCAGGUGCAUCGCUGGGUAUCUAAGUCGGGAUUGGAUAAGUGCUGAAAGCAUCUAAGUACGAAGCCAGCCACAAGAUUAGAUUUCUUAGGGUCGUUAAAGACGAUGACGUUGAUAGGAUGCAGGUGUAAAGGUGGUAACAUCAAAGCCGAGCAUUACUAAUUGCCCGUUCACUUUCUUU